GGUGGAUUCUUUCUUGAUUUUUUUGAUUUUCGCCAGUAGAAAACCGUUAAGGAUGUUAUUGUCAUGAAAAGCACAACUGAACUGAAGAUUGUUGGAAGAAUAAUGGCAAUAGGAGAUUUUUUGUGUUUCUUUUGCUUGGGACAUGCCGGUAGUUGCAGUUCUGGGAUACCUCCACAAAGAUUUUUGUUUCCAACAAGUGAAACUGUCAUUAUACUGCUGAACACUCCCUUGAUUGGUACCUCGCCCUCAAGAUUAUUGAAAGAGAGAUUCAGAUAUUGCAAAAAAGGAAGCUUUUCUAUCUCUUUUGGAAUCUUUCCUGAUAAGUGGUUUUUUGACAGGUCCAAUUGUUGGAGACCCCGUAAGGAACCAAGGGAAGAAGGAAUGGGUCCUUGGAGAAAGUUGCCCA
rnacentral:misc_RNA from 1 species